rnacentral:pre_miRNA from 1 species
UCAACUCAACUUAUAAUUAAAUGAAUUUAGGAUUAAAUGAGUUAUGGGUUGACCCAACUCAUUUUGUUAAAUGGGUUGGGUCAACCCAUAACUCAUUUAAUUUGAUGGGUUGAGUUGUUAAAUGAGU